rnacentral:rRNA from 1 species
AUUGAACGCUGGCGGCAUGCUUUACACAUGCAAGUCGAACGGUAACAGGCCUUCGGGUGCUGACGAGUGGCGAACGGGUGAGUAAUGCAUCGGAACGUACCCAGAGGUGGGGGAUAACGCAGCGAAAGCUGUGCUAAUACCGCAUGUGAUCUGAGGAUGAAAGCGGGGGACCGAGCAGCAAUGUUUGGCCUCGCGCCUUUGGAGCGGCCGAUGUCGGAUUAGCUAGUUGGUGGGGUAAAGGCCUACCAAGGCGACGAUCCGUAGCUGGUCUGAGAGGACGACAAGCCACACUGGGACUGAGACACGGCCCAGACUCCUACGGGAGGCAGCAGUGGGGAAUUGUGGACAAUGGGCGCAAGCCUGAUACAGCAAUGCCGCGUGCGGGAAGAAGGCCUUCGGGUUGUAAACCGCUUUUGGCAGGAACGAAACGGUGUCCGCUAAUACCGGGCGCUAAUGACGGUACCUGCAGAAUAAGCACCGGCUAACUACGUG